rnacentral:rRNA from 1 species
GAUGAACGCUGGCGGCGUGCCUAAUACAUGCAAGUCGAGCGAACAGACGAGGAGCUUGCUCCUCUGACGUUAGCGGCGGACGGGUGAGUAACACGUGGAUAACCUACCUAUAAGACUGGGAUAACUUCGGGAAACCGGAGCUAAUACCGGAUAAUAUAUUGAACCGCAUGGUUCAAUAGUGAAAGACGGUUUUGCUGUCACUUAUAGAUGGAUCCGCGCCGCAUUAGCUAGUUGGUAAGGUAACGGCUUACCAAGGCAACGAUGCGUAGCCGACCUGAGAGGGUGAUCGGCCACACUGGAACUGGGACACGGUCCAGACUCCUACGGGAGGCAGCAGUAGGGAAUCUUCCGCAAUGGGCGAAAGCCUGACGGAGCAACGCCGAGUGAGUGAUGAAGGUGUUCGGAUCGUAAAACUCGGUUAUUAGGGAAGAACAAAUGUGUAAGUAACUAUGCACGUCUUGACGGUACCUAAUCAGAAAGCCACGGCUAACUACGUG